rnacentral:rRNA from 1 species
AUUGAACGCUGGCGGCAGGCUUAACACAUGCAAGUCGAACGAGUGGCGGACGGGUGAGUAAUGAUUGGGAAUUUAGCUUAUGGAGGGGGAUAACUACGGGAAACUGUAGCUAAUACCGCGUACCAUAGGAGGAGCCCAAGUUGGAUUAGGUAGUUGGUGAGGUAAAGGCUCACCAAGCCGACGAUCUCUAGCUGGUCUGAGAGGAUGACCAGCCACACUUGGACUGCGACACGGCCCAGACUCCUACGGUAGGCAGCUGUUGUGAAUAUUGCGCAAGGGGCGCAACCUGACGCAUCCAUGCCGCGUGAAUGAAGAAGGCCUUCGGGUUGUAAAGUUCUUUCGAGAGCGAGGCGUUAACUACAGAAGAAGCACCGGCUAACUCCGUGCCAGCAGCCGCGGUAAUUC